UUACGGUCAUAUCAUGUUGAAAGACUGGUUCCUGUAUGAUCACUGAAGUUAAGCAAUGUUGGGCCUGGGCACUACCUAGAUGGGUGACUUUUUGGGAAUACUAAGUGCUGUAAG